rnacentral:lncRNA from 1 species
ACCAGCUCGCGUCCCUCCCCGGCCAGGGCCACCGCCGUCCGAGCGCCCGCGAGGGCUGGCGCCCCAUUCCCGGCGCAACGAGUGUUGCGCAACGGCCCACGCGGCCGACACGACCGGAGCGAGCCUGCGGAGGAGCCCGGGAGCCCCCCGUCCCACCGCCCCGUCCGCUCUUGGCUCCCUUCACCCUCCCGGUCGCCGCGGUGGCUCUGCGCUCCCCGCGACCCUCACUUGCUCGCAGAGGCGCUUUUUGUCUUCCUGAGAGCCGCAGCCUGCUGGGCUACCUGUUGCCGACUGAGCACUGCGGGUUGCGGCUACCCGGGCGUGGCCCGGACCUCGGCCUCCCCUUCCCCGCACACUCCCGAGAGGAGCCCUCUACCUUGGGGUGGGCAGGAGGGAAGGCGGGGGGUGGCGGCUGGCAAGCUGCCAACACUCGGGGCGCGCUGCGGCGGGGAAGGGGUUGGCGCGGCCGGGCAGCUGCGCAGGGCUGCGCGGCGGAGGCAGCGAUUAAAAUGUCCCGGCGCCUCUCCCGAGAGCCGCGACGGCCCGGAGCCGGGAGGGAAAGCUCCACGCACAAACACCGCCCCCUGCACAAUUAGGGCGAAGAUGACGGCUGCAAAGUUGUUGCGUAACACGACUGGGAAACGAGGCUCGCUGAGGUCCAUCUACCCACCCCCGCCACGCGGGUGCGGCGUUCCUCGGAGGAUGUGAAGGUCCGCGCUCGGGUGCCCCCGCUGGGACGCCCACUGUCGUUUGGUGCUGGGGCUUGAGACGACCGCGCGGGAUCUCUUCCUGUGAUUUUGAGCUGAUAGCUGCUUAGUGUUAUUUCUGCGUCUAACUGGAUACGGUAGUCUUCUCUCCCAAAUUCCCGGGCUACGGAAGAGACGUAAAAAAAUGGAAAAAAGAGCACCUAGCCGCGACUUCUUAAGUCGUCGCGCUAGACUGUCAAGGCACGUGGCACACUCCCUGCGUUUACCGAUACACGGAUAGUGGUCAGUGCUGGCCUUGGCGAAGGGAGCCAUGUUCCCGACAGUGACUCACAGGCUUGCCCAAAUACGGAGUGUGGCAGGUGGGCAGGACCUCCACCAGCCAGCUCCCUCCUGGUCUCCUUGAACUACGUGGGGGCUGGGCCGAGUGCCUCCACGACUUUCCACUUCUUUUUGCUCCUUUCGUUUUUAAAAAGCAAAAACCAAAGUAAAGAGAAGAGCAGAGUGAACACCCAGGUACCAUCCCUAGUGUCUGCCAUGAGCAGCAGAUCUAUCUACUCGCCAAGAUUGUCUUUUCUACCUUUCCCCUUCUUGCACAGUUAAUAUCAUAAUAACGCAAGUCAUAUUUAAAAAAUUUUUAUCACCUAUCAGUUGAGUUUUUGGAAAGCCUUCCAGGGCAGCGUUGUGGUUUUGAACGCACUCUUGUUCGUGAUUUAUCUGGUAGUACAGCUCUGCUGACAAGGCUCUGAAAACUCAGACGUACAAUAUGGGCUUAGCGUGUUCCCCGACACCAUCUUCCCGGUGCUGACUAAUGCAAGAACCACAUCCCCUCCACUACACAUUUUCCAAACUUGACUACCUUCAUGAGAACAAAUCCUGAUUUUAGUUUAUAAUUUCCACUUUUCUCAUACAUAUAUAAUAAUUCAAGAUGUGGUCUUACUAUGUUGUCCAGGUUGGCCUGGAACUCCUGGGCUCAAAGGAUCCUCCGGCCACAGCCUCCCUGGUAGUGGAAUUACAGGCGCAUGCCACUGUGCCUGGCCACUUUUCUCAAAUUUACUGAUAGUUUCCUUUUUGCCCAAACCUUACAAUGCUUAUUUGUAGCUUUGAGAACCUCUCUUAGAUGAAAUCAAAAUCAUAUCCAUAUUAGUUGCCUUUUUGGGGUCAGAAAUGCAGCUAUUGUCUAGAAAUCCAGGGCUGUCCUGCAUAAUCUACCCUCCCCUUCACGUGUUCUGACCUUGUUCUGCAUUUUGAAUAAUUUCAUGGAAUUUCAAAGCCGUUGUAGUAAAUGUCUUUCUUUAAAGACAACUCGACCUUCAAGACAGGUAAAGAACGUGCCUGGAGCCACCCCAGGCAGUGAUGCUGGAGGAGUUCUCUCAACCUGGAAACUUAUUCUUUAUGCUGAAUUUUGAAAUCGAAUGCUCCUAUAUUUACUUGGAGUAUUUUAGAUUGUGUAUGUAUUAUAUCUGUGCAUCAUUCAUUGUUACCAUCUAACUUGGAAAUCAGAGGAAGUGUGAAAGGUAUCUGAGAUACCAGCUUAGAAAACAACUCUUUAGCUCCUCCUGGUGAUUAGGACACCACUAAACAACAGGAUGAAGGAUCUGUCCCCAGGGCCGAAGUGAUGAUGUAUCUAAUAUUAUAUCCUAGAACAUUCACAGAGUAGGUAAGUAUUUGCAGAUUAACUCGAGUAAAUGGAGCAUAAAAACCUAAGAUAUUUGAAACAAAUUAACCAGGGUGGGGAGGCUUCUAGGAAGACAUCAGCAUGUGCCUGAUGGUGGAGCUGGGCUGUAAGGUUCUCAGGAGGAGGAGGAAGGGGUUCUUGCUCUCAGCAACCUCUCAGUGCUAGGGGUGGAUUGAGGGCAGGGGCAAGGGAGGAGGUGCCUGGACAGGGAUGAGAACUACCAGCAGAAGACAAUCAACCACAUUCUAAUUCAUUUUAUUAUACUGCCAACAUGGUUUCUGACUAAGCAAAUAUAAGAGCUAUAGCUUGAGAACAGAAUGACUAAAACAGUGACUUCUCCUUACUAAAAUGGGAAUUAAUAGGAAUUUGUAAUUUAGUAACAACUUAAUUUAAUAUAGUAAUAAUUUUUCUACAGCUGCAGAAUGUCUUGAGCUGGAACAUCCCCAAGAGGCCAUAUAUAUAUCCCAGGGAUUUUACAGUGGACCUCACUAGGCCGGAGUAACUGUAAAGUCAGAUGGAUAAUGAGAAUUCAGGACGUUAGCCACACGUGGACUGUGGCAAAAAGAAAGUGACCCACUGAAGAAGACUGUUUUUCAGCUCUCUCAUCAAUUGCUGUUUCCAGGAGCCCACAGCUCCAAUUACUCAAAAGAACGUUGACUUUUUUUUUUUUGGUAAAAUAUCCUGAUUUUCAGGUUAGGCAAGCAAUUCAUUAAAAAAUAAAAGACUGCACAGCCCACAGCUCCAAUUAUUCAAAAGAAAGUUGACUUUCUUUUUUUUGGUAAAAUAUCCUGAUUUUCAGUUUAGGCAAGCAAUUCAUUAAAAAAUAAAAGACUGCAGGACUUACCUACCCAGAGGCUGGACAGUCUGAGUCCUCUGAGUUCUACAGAGAUGUCCUGGGAACAGGGGGUGGAGACGGGGGACUCAGUGGCUAAAAAGCAGGCUGCCUACCUGGCAACCAAAUUGGGCAGCUCUACCCUAUCUGUUUUGUGCAUUGGACUUAUGGAUUUCUUUGUAGAAAAAACUUCGAUAACUAAAAGCCCUUUGGUGACCUCCUGUCUGGUCUGGUGGCCGGCAGCCUGCAUCAGGGCUCCUGUGUGCCAGGACCAUUUUCUUUCCACUGUAGUAUGUUUAUGGACCACCUUGUGUCUUUUUAUUAAACUCCAGGAACAGAAGUUCAGUUUCUGGGAAUCCAUAGCAUACCGUUUUUGUUGUUGUUGUUGUUGUUGUUGUUGUUUUUGUUUUUGAGACAGGGUCUUGCUCUCUUGCCCACACUGGAGGGCAGUGGAGUGAUCACGGCUCACUGCAGCCUUGACCCCCCCAGGCUCAAGCAAACCUCCAACCUCAGCCUUCCAAGUAGCUGGGAUUACAGGUGCACACUACCAUGCCUGGCUAAUUUUUUAAUUUUUUUUUUGUUAGAGUCAGUGUCUCUCUAUGUUGCCCAGGCUGGUCUCAAACUCCUGGGCUCAAGCAAUCCUCCCACCUUGGCCUCCCAAAGUGCUGGAAUUACAGGUGUGAGUCACAGCACCAGACCUGUUUUGUUUUCAAGUGGAGGCUUUAAGAUGUGAGCUAGCAUGGUAGCCUUAGUGAGGUUCUCCUCCCCACGCCCAUCAGUGUGUGCUUUUUGCUGGGAUUUUGGCUUUGAUGCAAUGAGUCAUUGACUGUUGAGGCAGAAACUUCCUGGAAUGAUAUUUCUUUCCACCACUCAUGCACUUUUAUUUCUGCUAUUCAUGCCAUUUUUAAUCUUUCACCUCUGUCUUCCUCUUCCGCUUUGCCUUUUCUUGUAGUUUUUCUACCUUUGUUGACCUUUUUUCUUUUUAAAUUUAGUUAUCUUGAUUUACUCUAUUAUUCUUAGUUUUUUCCUUUGGCCUUUCUCCAGUCAUUCAGAUCAUUACUUCCUGGGAUUCCUUCAUUCCCCCAAACAUCCACUUUUCUCUUUGCUCUUGCCACCUACCUAUCCCAGCCACAACCUAGACGUUAUAGUUUUUAAGAUUUCAACUGUCUUCCAGCCUCUGCCUCUCGGUCCCCUAACUUUGCCAUGUGGCUCCAUUAGCAGGAGUUCUAUUAGCAUGCUUGGCCUUCUUUUUCAAAAACUAGCUUUUGUGGGAAAUUGGGUAAUAGAAGAUGGUCACAUAACAUUCCCUGUAGAAGCGAUGGCUUUAAAGUAUGGGAAGCCAAAAUGUUUCCUAUUAAGCAGCUCUUGCUCAAGCUAAGAAAGAAAUUAGAUCUCUACACCAACGACAUGAUUUCCCCAGACAAAAUCAGCUGAUGGUCUGAAUACAUUUGAAAGCAUUUCCAAAGGACCCAGGAAAAGACCAGAAAGAGGUGAUUUUGCAAAGAAGAGAAAAUGUUGCAAGUACACUAUUACAAAAACUGAAACAUGUCUUUAAAUUCAGCCACCACAGAUGGCACACAUUUCAGUAAGCAUUUUUAUUCAUUCAGAUUAAAUGGUAUAUGUGAGUAAGAGUGCCAAAAUAAGGGACAUUAACAAAAAAAGGUGGGUAGGAAAAAGGAGAAUACACUAAAAAUGGUCAAGACUGUGGGAGCAGCUAAUCGUGUUCAUUGCAAAAUCUUGGCGAUGGAGCAAGCAUUGUGGCAGCACUCAGCCAGCAACUGGAACACAGCUAGCAGGGCUAUGAGUAUAUGAAAUAGAAAAUUGUGAAAUAUGUUCUAACAAAAAUCAUUUCAUGAAGAAUAAGACAAGACAGGUCCACAUUGCAAUCCAGUUCAAAUCAACGAAGUAAAGCUUAUCUAAACAUUUCUGUGAAGUCAUGCACAGGAUAGUUUACUGGAAAGAGCUACACAGCUGCAACUCAGAAGCUGAAAUUCUGGUGCAUUCUGUACCCCAUACUCACCAAGGGGAUCAUUUCACCUCUCUGAAUGUCCAUUCCUUCAUCUGAAACCCGAGGGAGCCAACCAGAUGGUUGGCCACGUUCCUUCUCUCAUUAGCAUGGGUUGACUAACAUGCCACCAGCAUAUAUUGCAGAAAAGAAAAACUGCAAAUGUGGCAUUUGCAGCAAAGCAGCUAUGGCAAGCACUGGCUCAUUCAUAACCUUCCCUUGGCCUAAUUGUAACAUGGACAAGAGAAAAUUACCUUGUUGAGUUGCCCACCAACUUUUGUCACUCCAGAGACAAAAGUUGUCUUCUGGAGUCGUUUGUUUCAGCAAGAGAUUAAAGUGAAUGCUCUCCGUUUGGUAAAUGCACUUAAGAAGUCCGGAAAUUGGGUGCUUGACCGCAUUUCUGGUCUUCUGAGAAACUUUCAGAAGUGCUCAAGAUUCAGGUGCCAUUGUGUUUUCAGCUGCUGCUGUGUGAUGCUGCUCUCAGGCGGUGCAUGUAGGUCUGUGGAGGAUUUUGUGAGUCCGCAUACUGGCAGGAUGAUAAAAGAGCCAGCUCUCGGGCAGUCACCAGGAAUUGCAGGCAGUAGAGCCCAGUGCUGAAGACCCAGAUACAGAGGCCCGUGUCCACAUCCCAGCUUGCCCACAGCCACUCAGGAACUCUGUGGCUGUGGGCAACUUACUUUUCUCGUCUGCUGUGUGCCUCACUUUCACCUUUUGACAACCAUUUAUAAUUAUAGUAUCAAUCUCAACUUGUUCUGAGGAUAAAAUUAGUACCUAUUAACUGAUUAGGAAAGUGCCUGAUAUAUUAGCAAGUGUUAGCUAUUAUUAUUAACCCAAAAAAGAAUCAACAUACAUCAGAAAAAUAGUAUCAUCAACCAAAUACUUGUGCCUGUGCAUGCGUAUGUGUGUGCGUGUCCAUAUUAAUUACAUAUACAUAAUAAAUCUUGUUACGCUGCCAGGAUCCUAUUCAAUUCAGAUGAACAAGUGAGCAUGUACAUCUACAAGAAAGAAUAACAGAGGUGGAUGGGGAUUAGAAUUCAUUCAUUCUUCCAUUUAUGGAGCACCUGCUGGGUGCCAGGCAUCCCUUGAACAGUUGAGUGAUGUCCCAUGCCUGCUGUAGACUUGGCGCUCAUUCACUCACUCCCUCACUUAAGGUACAUGUUUACUGACUACUUAGCAGGGGCCAGAAACUAAGCCAGGC